GACGAACGCUGGCGGCGUGCUUAACACAUGCAAGUCGAACGGUAAGGCCUUCGGGUACACGAGUGGCGAACGGGUGAGUAACACGUGGGUGAUCUGCCCCCUACUCUGGGAUAAGCCUGGGAAACUGGGUCUAAUACUGGAUAUGACCAACUUCUGCAUGGUUGUUGGUGGAAAGUUUUUUCGGUAGGGGAUGAGCCCGCGGCCUAUCAGCUUGUUGGUGGGGUAAUGGCCUACCAAGGCGACGACGGGUAGCCGGCCUGAGAGGGCGACCGGCCACACUGGGACUGAGACACGGCCCAGACUCCUACGGGAGGCAGCAGUGGGGAAUAUUGCACAAUGGGCGAAAGCCUGAUGCAGCGACGCCGCGUGGGGGAUGACGGCCUUCGGGUUGUAAACCCCUUUCAGUCGGGACGAAGCGAGAGUGACGGUACCGAUAGAAGAAGCACCGGCCAACUACGUGCCAGCAGCCGCAGUAAUAC
rnacentral:rRNA from 1 species